GCCUUUGGCGGGUUGCCUAUACAUGCAAGUCGAGCGGACAGAUGGGAGCUUGCUCCCUGAUGUUAGCGGCGGACGGGUGAGUAACACGUGGGUAACCUGCCUGUAAGACUGGGAUAACUCCGGGAAACCGGGGCUAAUACCGGAUGGUUGUUUGAACCGCAUGGUUCAAACAUAAAAGGUGGCUUCGGCUACCACUUACAGAUGGACCCGCGGCGCAUUAGCUAGUUGGUGAGGUAACGGCUCACCAAGGCAACGAUGCGUAGCCGACCUGAGAGGGUGAUCGGCCACACUGGGACUGAGACACGGCCCAGACUCCUACGGGAGGCAGCAGUAGGGAAUCUUCCGCAAUGGACGAAAGUCUGACGGAGCAACGCCGCGUGAGUGAUGAAGGUUUUCGGAUCGUAAAGCUCUGUUGUUAGGGAAGAACAAGUACCGUUCGAAUAGGGCGGUACCUUGACGGUACCUAACCAGAAAGCCACGGCUAACUACGUGCCAGCAGCCGCGGUAAUACGUAGGUGGCAAGCGUUGUCCGGAAUUAUUGGGCGUAAAGGGCUCGCAGGCGGUUUCUUAAGUCUGAUGUGAAAGCCCCCGGCUCAACCGGGGAGGGUCAUUGGAAACUGGGGAACUUGAGUGCAGAAGAGGAGAGUGGAAUUCCACGUGUAGCGGUGAAAUGCGUAGAGAUGUGGAGGAACACCAGUGGCGAAGGCGACUCUCUGGUCUGUAACUGACGCUGAGGAGCGAAAGCGUGGGGAGCGAACAGGAUUAGAUACCCUGGUAGUCCACGCCGUAAACGAUGAGUG
rnacentral:rRNA from 1 species